rnacentral:rRNA from 1 species
GAUGAACGCUAGCGGCAGGCCUAAUACAUGCAAGUCGAACGGUGUCUUCGGACAUAGUGGCGCACGGGUGCGUAACACGUAUGCAACCUACCUUACAUUGGGGGAUAGCCUUUCGAAAGGGAGAUUAAUACCGCAUAAGACAGUAGCUGGGCAUCCAGCAGCUGUUAAAGAUUUAUCGAUGUAAGCUGGGCAUGCGUCCAAUUAGCUAGUUGGUGAGGUAACGGCUCACUAAGGCAAUGAUUGGUAGGGGAACUGAGAGGUCAAUCCCCCACACUGGCACUGAGAUACGGGCCAGACUCCUACGGGAGGCAGCAGUAGGGAAUAUUGGGCAAUGGACGCAAGUCUGACCCAGCCAUGCCGCGUGCAGGAUGAAGGCGUUAUGCGUUGUAAGCUGCUUUUAUACAGGAAGAAACGACUCUUGCGAGAGGCAUUGACGGUACUGUAUGAAUAAGCACCGGCUAACUCCGUGCCAGCCGCCGCGGUAACAC